UACGGGGGGGGCAAGCGUUGUUCGGAAUUACUGGGCGUAAAGGGUCUGUAGGUGGCCAAUUAAGUCAGACGUGAAAUCCCUCGGCUUAACCGGGGAACUGCGUCUGAUACUGGAUGGCUUGAGUUUGGGAGAGGGAUGCGGAAUUCCAGGUGUAGCGGUGAAAUGCGUAGAUAUCUGGAGGAACACCGGUGGCGAAGGCGGCAUCCUGGACCAACACUGACGCUGAGGAGCGAAAGCCAGGGGAGCAAACGGG
rnacentral:rRNA from 1 species